UAGUUACCAGCACGUAUGGUGGGCACUCUAAGGAGACUGCCGGUGACAACCGGAGGAAGUGGGGAUGACGUCAAGUCAUCAUGGCCCUUACGGCCUGGGCUACACACGUGCUACAAUGGUCGGUACAAAGGGUUGCCAAGCCGCGAGGUGGAGCUAAUCCCAUAAAACCGAUCGUAGUCCGGAUCGCAGUCUGCAACUCGACUGCGUGAAGUCGGAAUCGCUAGUAAUCGUGAAUCAGAAUGUCACGGUGAAUACGUUCCCGGGCCUU
rnacentral:rRNA from 1 species